GCUCAUUUCUUUUCUUCUUCUCUCUAUACGUUGGUGUUCUAACCAAUAAUCACCGAUGCGAUAUUCUGUCCGAUCGAUUCAGGAACCAACUAACGGAUGCCAAAGUGCUAUACUUUGAGAGUUCGUUAAACGGAUGCCAAAGUACUAUACUUUGUGAGUUCGUUAAACGGAUGCCAAAGUACUAUACUUUGUGAUUUCGGUAAACGGAAUCCAAAGUGUUACACUAUGUGAAAUUCAUUAAGGUUGGAAUCUCGUGACUACCGUUAAGGUUUGAUUUGGGUUUUACACAAAUACGUAUUCCAUUCUGUUAAACUAUAUGUUUAACUACCGAAAAUACUUUCCACUACACACUCACAAUCAAACAAACUAUUAAAAUCAUCAGAAGAUCCAGAAUAAUAAAGUGCAUGCUUAAUUAUCGGAAGAAGUAGAAUCAAGAAGUUUGUUAACUCAAUCCUGCAUGCUGAUUAGGAUUAAGUCUAUGUAAUCACCAUAUUACAGCCGGUAUGUGGGGUUUUGUAUACAUUACUUAUUUCCCAUCACACUUGGACAACGAGUUAGCCAAGGGGUGAUCUGACCACAGUCACAGACACCAUUUGGACAACGAGAUAGCCAAUGGGUAGUCGAGUGACAAGUACUGUGGGUAGUUGGUUUGAUAUCAGAAACAUUGUAAUUCCCCUUAAUACUGUAAAUUAUAACAAUUCUGUUUUUAUAAAACCUGAAUGAACUCACUCAGUAUUUCCCGCUGACAAAACCUUUUUAAAACGCGUUUCAGGUAAUUACAGUAGAUUGGGGUAAGAAUUGGAUCCAGCACUGAAGAACUUCAAGAAGUGGUUUAUUUUAUUAAAUAAAUCAACUUAAGAAAUAUUGUUUUUGGGUUUAUCCCGUAUUAAAAGCUACCUUUGUAAAACAUGGAAUUUAUUCCAUCUAUUUAAAUAAAAUCCGGUGUUUCUAAACUCUGAUAUUUUUCCUAACUCACGGUCCUGAUAAAAUUUCCGCUGCAAUGUUUUUCAAAAUAAUCACCGGUACCACUGGACUGCUCGCGGCUUCCGUUUCCGUCCAGGAUGGGUUCGGGGUCGUGACAGUUGUUCACUUGAAAUGGACAAUUUGGCGCCGUUCCGUUUCGUUGAGCAAGAAAUAAUGGAGAUUGUUGCAGCACGUUGAUGUCGUUUUGUGAACCCGCCGGGCCACAAAAAGCAUGCCAAAUCCACAAAUCUUGAGACGCCACCGCUUCUAACAUAACCGUCGGGUAUUGAUGAUCGCCUCUCAUGUAUUGUCCGCGCAAUUCUGUGGGGCACAUUCUCCAGACGAAGUGUGUACAAUGCAGACUACCCAACAUACCAGGGAGGUGAUGCCUCUCCUUAUGAGCAUGAUACAAUAGCGCAACGUCGUGGCUCGUUGGUCUACGUAGGAAUUCACCGACAUACCUUUUACAGACCGUCUCGCAGAAUAUUCAAGGCACUCACGAGAGGUCCUUUCAGACAUAUUUAAAUACUCGUCCCCCUCGUCUGGUGGGUUACCGGUUGCAAGUUGUUUAAUCGCCGAAGUAACCUUUUGUA
rnacentral:lncRNA from 1 species